rnacentral:sRNA from 1 species
UUUCGUCUGAAAAAAAAGAGAAUGAGAACCUCCGAAGGAGGUUUGAGCCGAGCGUAGCGAGACAACGUUGCUUCAGCAACGGCCCGGAGGGCGCUGCUCGCAGAGCAGUGUAAUCCUCUCUCGCCGACCA